AGUGAUACUUGAGAAUUGUAAUUAGGGAUUUAUGAUUUCUUUUUUAUACAAGGCCAUAAAUACAUUUUGCACCAACGAUGGUUUACAUUAAAAGAAUUCUUGUUUAUCACAAAUUGUUAUCUUUCUACACUUUGAAUUCAUUAAUUGCAUACAGCCCACAACACAAUGCAAGCAACUAAACCCUAAGCCCUAAAGAUUUUCAUCUGUCCCUGCUGAGGCUGGCGCUGGUGCUGGCGCUGGCGGCAGGGCUGGUGUACGUCAUGCCUGAAUCUGAAGCUGAUUAAAUAUCACUCAAAACCCAACAAGGAUACCGUAUUACAAAAGGUACACUAACAAAACAAAACAAAACGAAACGGAAAAAGCAAGGUGAUAUAUAUAUAUAUACAUGUUUUAACAGCUAAACUACCAAGUAGCAACUCAAUCGUCCACAUCAAUCAAGAUACCAAAGUAAUAUAUCAUUCAUUCAAAAGUGACAUGCAAUAAGAAAUGUACAGGAGAGACAAGGUAUCUAAAAGAAAUUCAACUAAAACAACCACCACAUAUCCAAUUUUUACUAUCCUCUCUCAUCUCAUCUGAUCCAGAUGCAUAGUAAACUACCAAAACAAUCAUAAAAUGAAUAAAACAAAUUUAUAUGAAAAUUUUAAUUUGGAUGGGGAUGGAGAAGGGGGUAAGCCCGCUGAGCCAUCACUGCCCCCAUAUCAUAUCAUAUGGAAUGAAUUUUAGAGGGCUCUGACUGCGGGCAGUCUUCACUGCAGGAGGGUUUGAGACACCAAACCAGCGAGUGACGGUCGAGAGCCGCCAGCAGCCCUAGACCCCUGAAACAUCAUGAGAGGCCAAAGGGAGGGAGGGUGGCUCAGCCUCAGCCACUCGGUUCGGCGCCCCUCUCUGCUCAGAUAAGAUCAAGUAGUUGAACCUCUUAGGGUUUCUAUCCUCCCUUUUUAUAUAUUCCUAAAAGGCGGUUGUUUACACUUUACACUCGGCCCCUUCUCAACCCAUUUUUGGCGGCCCAAAACUAAGCGCAGCCCGAGUCUUCCGGUUUAAGCCCAUCCUCGAUUUUUUCAUUUUUUAAAUCAACUAAAAUUUAAAUUAGAACGAAACUCAGGAGUCAGUACUGAAC
rnacentral:lncRNA from 1 species